AUACGUAGGGUGCGAGCGUUGUCCGGAAUUACUGGGCGUAAAGAGCUCGUAGGUGGUUUGUCGCGUCGUCUGUGAAAUUCCGGGGCUUAACUCCGGGCGUGCAGGCGAUACGGGCAUAACUUGAGUACUGUAGGGGAGACUGGAAUUCCUGGGGUAGCGGUGAAAUGCGCAGAUAUCAGGAGGAACACCGGUGGCGAAGGGGGGUCUCUGGGCAGUAACUGACGCUGAGGAGCGAAAGCAUGGGUAGCGAACAGGAUUAGAUACCCUGGUAGUCCAUGCCGUAAACGGUGGGCGCUAGGUGUAGGGGUCUUCCACGACUUCUGUGCCGUAGCUAACGCAUUAAGCGCCCCGCCUGGGGAGUACGGCCGCAAGGCUAAAACUCAAAGGAAUUGACGGGG
rnacentral:rRNA from 1 species